AUGAAAGAGAAGAUCUAUUUAAAUGUCCUAAAAAACAUAAGUACUGAAAUUCUUGUUCUUUUCCUUCCCUUUGCUGCCCACCUUCUCUUCAUUACUGUUUAUUUUCCUGGAGAGCCAACAGCUGAAAUCCCGACAUCAGAAAAAACAACUGAGAAGAAACAGCUGAAAGAUGAAAAAACUAAAGUAAAAGAAGAUCCACGACAUCAAAACGUGACAUCAGCAGCCUUCUUGGAUGAAAACUCUGGAAACAAUGCAUAUUGCAUUUAUAAUACAGUUAGUUGAAGGGAUUGACAUUUUUACUGCCCACAGAUGUACAAAAGUGGCAGAAAUAAAGAGAGGCUGUGUUACAAGAGCAUGAAAAGUGAGAAUUAAUGAAACUGAUACUAUUCUCAUAUAUUUUCUUUUAAUUAGAGAAAAGUGUGUAUUAUUCUAAAGGUCGAGUGAAACCAAACCACUCAUGAUAACUUCCUUGUAAAUAGAUGUGUCAUAAAUAGACUCACAUAUAUUAUUAUGUAAUACUCAUAUAUUAUUAGACAUUUGAAACUUUCUUUGACAUGAGUGAAACUUUCUUUGAUGUGGAAACUGCUAUACCUAUUGUUUAGUUACAGAACUUGUACUUCUGUGGAAACUGAAAUUAACAUUAAGCAGAGUUGGAACACGAUUGUUUAGUUACAGAACUUGUACUUCUGUGAAAACUGAAAUUAACAUUAAGCAGAGUUGGAUCAUGGCUUAUAUGAGCAUAAUAUGCAAGAACUCUUAUGGAAUGAAAAGCUAGAUUUUUCAUCUACUGCAGUGAUAGAGAUUCUCAAAUGCAAUACCAAUUCUCAAACAUUUUCUAGCAUAAAGAGCAAUCAUUUCAUCAUACUAUCAGUGCAUAUUCAAUGCCACAUAUUCAUCACCACAUGGAAACCUCAACAACUGCAGGGGUUGAAUUAAUUAUAUGUCUUGUAAGUGUGUGGGGACUGGUUUAUUAUAGAGGUUGUUUUAGUGCAUUGCACUAUCUGUCUAGUAAUACAAUUUCAAAAGCAAAGAAAGUUUUAUUUGAUGUGAGAUUUGAUAUCACAGCCAUCUGGGAGACCAUGAAGAAGAUUUCAUCAGUGCUAAGGGAAUGUAAACUUGUCAGCAGUGCACUAUGUGAGAUUUG
rnacentral:lncRNA from 1 species